AGUGAACGCUGGCGGCAGGCCUAACACAUGCAAGUCGAACGGCAGCACGGCAGUAGCAAUACUGUGGGUGGCGAGUGGCGGACGGGUGAGGAAUACAUCGGGAUCUACCCUGUUGUGGGGGAUAACGUAGGGAAACUUACGCUAAUACCGCAUAAGAACUGAGGUUGAAAGCGGCGGACCGCAAGGCGUCGCGCGAUUGGAUGAACCCGAUGUCCGAUUAGCUAGUUGGCGGGGUAAAGGGCCCACCCAAAGGGCGACGAUCGGGUAGCGUGGUCUGAGAGGACGACCAGCCACACUGGAACUGAGACACGGUCCAGACUCCUACGGGAGGCAGCAGUGGGGGAAUAUUGGACAAUGGGCGCAAGCCUGAUCCAGCCAUGCCGCGUGGGUGAAGAAGGCCUCGG
rnacentral:rRNA from 1 species